rnacentral:rRNA from 1 species
GGACGAACGUUGGCGGCGUGCUUAAUACAUGCAAGUCAACUGAAGCAGUGGUAGCAAUAUCGCUGUGGAGGUGGCGCACGGGUGAGUAACACGUAGGUAAUCUGCCUUCAGGUCUGGCAUAACUCCGGGAAACCGGGGCUAAUAGCAGAUGAUGCAGCGGCUCGACAUCGAGACAGUUGUUAAAGCUAUGGCGCCUGAAGAUGAGCCUGCGUCUGAUUAGCUAGUUGGCGGGGUAACGGCCCACCAAGGCAACGAUCAGUAGCUGGUCUGAGAGGAUGAUCAGCCACACUGGAACUGAGACACGGUCCAGACUCCUACGGGAGGCAGCAGUAAGGAAUAUUGCUCAAUGGGAGAAAUCCUGAAGCAGCAACGCCGCGUGAGGGACGAAGGGCUUUUGCUUGUAAACCUCUGUAGUGAGAGAAAAAAAUCCCAAUCUUUGGGACAUGAUGGUAGCUCAAAAGUAAGCCCCGGCUAACUACGUG